rnacentral:rRNA from 1 species
UACGGGGGGAGCAAGCGUUGUUCGGAUUUACUGGGCGUAAAGGGCGCGUAGGCGGCCACCGCAAGUCGAUUGUGAAAUCUCCGGGCUUAACCCGGAAAGGUCAACCGAUACUGCGGGGCUAGAGUGCAGAAGGGGCAACUGGAAUUCUCGGUGUAGCGGUGAAAUGCGUAGAUAUCGAGAGGAACACCUGCGGCGAAGGCGGGUUGCUGGGCUGACACUGACGCUGAGGCGCGAAAGCGAGGGGAGCGAACGGG